rnacentral:misc_RNA from 2 species
AAUCCACUCAAGCCUGGCUUGGUAUUGGGUGCCGGGGACCCCCCGCGCCUCCAUUUCGCCGGCUGGCCGUCGUUUGACUUAGCGUUGUGACACAUGUCGCUAUCGACGAAGACGGACCGCGCCGUGAAAAUCUCCUUGAAUGUUAUUCAAUAUUCAGUAAA